CAGUUUAGGCUGAGGCCUGUGCCAGCUGUGAAAUAUUUACUCCACCCUCUGACCUUGCGUUAGGCCUUAUAUGAUUUACAGUGUUCUGAAGGCUGCCAAAUUCAGAUGCCAGCGACCCACCAAGCUCAACACAUUCCAGAAGCCAGACACUCUAGUGAGAAAGCGCUACUGCUGAUCCUGGAGAGUUCAAGUCCAAAACAGACAAGCACCCAAGUAGUCCAUAGAGGCCGGUCAAGAUCAGAGCUCCAUUGUACUGGUCACUAUAGAGUAUGAAGUCUUCCCAC